GAUAAUGGCUCAGGAUGAACGCUAGCGACAGGCUUAACACAUGCAAGUCGAGGGGCAGCACAGGUAGCAAUACCGGGUGGCGACCGGCGCACGGGUGAGUAACGCGUAUGCAACUUGCCUAUCAGACGGGGAUAACCCGGCGAAAGUCGGACUAAUACCGCAUGAAGCAGGGGCCCCGCAUGGGGAUAUUUGCUAAAGAUUCAUCGCUGAUAGAUAGGCAUGCGUUCCA
rnacentral:rRNA from 1 species